AACGCGAAGAACCUUACCUGGGCUUGACAUGUGCCUGACCGCCCUGGAAACAGGGCUUCCCUUCGGGGCAGGUUCACAGGUGGUGCAUGGCUGUCGUCAGCUCGUGUCGUGAGAUGUUGGGUUAAGUCCCGCAACGAGCGCAACCCCCGUCGCAUGUUGCCAGCAUUUAGUUGGGGACUCAUGCGAGACUGCCGGUGACAAACCGGAGGAAGGUGGGGAUGACGUCAAGUCAUCAUGCCCCUUAUGUCCAGGGCUACACACGUGCUACAUUGGCGCAUACAGAGGGCUGCGAUACCGCGAGGUGGAGCGAAUCCCUUAAAGUGCGUCUCGGUUCGGAUUGCAGGCUGAAACUCGCCUGCAUGAAGGCGGAGUUGCUAGUAAUCGCGGAUCAGCAUUGCCGCGGUGAAUACGUUCCCGGGCCUUGUA
rnacentral:rRNA from 1 species